rnacentral:rRNA from 1 species
UACGGGGGGGCAAGCGUUGUUCGGAAUUACUGGGCGUAAAGGGCCAGUAGGCGGCCAACUAAGUCGGAUGUGAAAUCCCCAGGCUCAACCUGGGAACUGCGUCCGAUACUGGAUGGCUUGAAUUCGGGAGAGGGAUGCAGAAUUCCAGGUGUAGCGGUGAAAUGCGUAGAUAUCUGGAGGAAUACCGGUGGCGAAGGCGGCAUCCUGGACCGACAUUGACGCUGAGGAGCGAAAGCUAGGGGAGCAAACGGG